AGAGUUUGAUCCUGGCUCAGAAUCAACGCUGGCGGCGUGCCUAACACAUGCAAGUCGAACGAGAAAGGGUAGCAAUACCUGAGUAAAGUGGCGCACGGGUGAGUAACACGUGACUAACCUACCCUGGAGUGGGGGAUAACUGAGGGAAACCUUAGCUAAUACCGCAUAAUACCUACGGGUCAAAGGAGUAAUUCGCUUUGGGAGGGGGUCGCGGCCGAUUAGUUAGUUGGCGGGGUAAUGGCCCACCAAGACUGUGAUCGGUAUCCGGCCUGAGAGGGCGCACGGACACACUGGAACUGAAACACGGUCCAGACUCCUACGGGAGGCAGCAGUGGGGAAUUUUGCGCAAUGGGGGAAACCCUGACGCAGCAACGCCGCGUGGAGGAUGAAGUACUUCGGUACGUACACUCCUUUCGAUCGGGACGAUAAUGACGGUACCGGAAGAAGAAGCCC
rnacentral:rRNA from 1 species